AUGAGUAAAUUAAACUUCUUCCAUGGUUAAAUUAAGUAUUAUGGCUCAUGUAUAAUUGUAUAUAUUAUAAAAAAAUACAUAAAAAAAUAAAAUAAAAUUUCCGACUGGUUUAUUAAAAUGGGUGCUGUAUUAUUCUCGGUCAAGAUCCAAACCCAACACCGGAUCCGGAUCCGGAUCCGGAUCAUUUACUGCAAUCGUAGAAAACUGAUGGACCGUAGCCGGACGGAGGGAAUAUAUCCCCCACAAUCCUUCAGGCACAGAAGCAUACAUUUUAAUCUUCUAUUCAAAAACUAAUCACCUGGAAAAUCUAUAGGGUUAUGGAAGCGAAGCAACUACUCAAGGACAAGAAGUUCUGGUUUGCUUCUUUCAUCAUUGCCUGGGCUGCUGCUCUACAGGGGCAUAUGAUGUGGUUACAGAGACAGGACUCCUUCAAGCAGAAGUUUGCGACUCUGAACAACCAAGGCGAUGAUGAUAGUGAAAACAAUUCCCGAGAGUGACCCACGUAAGCUUCACGGUUCAAAACUUUGGCAAAGGAGUGAAAUCCGAAAUUGUACUAGUGAAGAAACUAAUUCAGAAUUCAGACCUCUGUAUGUAAAUAAAAUGCAAUUCUUGAAUUUCAAAUUAUUGUUGAAACUUGCUUGAACAUGAAUAACUAUUUUGAUUCAUAAUGGUAUCUGUUUUUGCAUUAA